UGAGUAACGCGUAUCCAACCUGCCGUCUACUCUUGGCCAGCCUUCUGAAAGGAAGAUUAAUCCAGGAUGGGAUCAUGAGUUCACAUGUCCGCAUGAUUAAAGGUAUUUUCCGGUAGACGAUGGGGAUGCGUUCCAUUAGAUAGUAGGCGGGGUAACGGCCCACCUAGUCAACGAUGGAUAGGGGUUCUGAGAGGAAGGUCCCCCACAUUGGAACUGAGACACGGUCCAA
rnacentral:rRNA from 1 species